rnacentral:misc_RNA from 1 species
GUGAAUCAUCGAAUUUUUGAACGCACAUUGCACUCUCCGGUUUUCCGGGAGAAUAUGCCUUUUUGAGGGUCGGCAUAAAAAAAAUCGACAGUGUGGCUGUUUUAUGGUGACUUUCGUAGGAGAUGGGCUAUGUUAAAUCUCGCUUUAAGCGACUUAACAAUUUUUUUUAUGAUUCUAACAAGGUUUCUAACAUUUCUUUUGUACGUUUAAGGUAUCGAAAGU